rnacentral:rRNA from 1 species
UACGUAGGUGGCAAGCGUUGUUCGGAAUUAUUGGGCGUAAAGGGCGCGUAGGCGGUUCGUUAAGUCAGUUGUGAAAGCCCGGAGCUCAACUCCGGAGAGUCGACUGAUACUGGCGAGCUAGAGUACGGAAGAGGUAGCUGGAAUUCCCGGUGUAGCGGUGAAAUGCGCAGAUAUCAGGAGGAACACCGGUGGCGAAGGCGGGUCUCUGGGCCGAUACUGACGCUGAGGAGCGAAAGCGUGGGGAGCGAACAGG